UUUUUUUUUUUUUUUCUUUGGCUUUUUAGGGCACCCAUAGCCUAUGGAAGUUCCCUGGCUAGAGGCUGAAUUGGUGCUACAGCUGCUGGCUUAUGCCACAGCCACAAGAAGGCCAGAUCCGAGCCACAUCUGUGGCCUACACCACAGCUCACAGCAAGGCUGGAUCCUUUAACCCACUGAGUGAGGUCACAGAUGUGACUUGGAUCUGGUGUUGCUGUGGCUGUGGCCUCAGCAGCAGCUCCGAUUCAACCCCUAGCCUGGAAACUUCCAAAUGCCACAGGCGCAGCCCUAAAAUAAAAAUAAAAAGAAAAUCUGAAUCUAUAUUGCAGUGCAUGCGAGGUAAGGACCUUAGAAUUAAGGAAGAGAUAAACAUCAAGGCUUAUGGGGGUUCAGGGAACCAACUUUGUGGUGAUUUUGCCUCUGAAUGCCUGUGGUCAAGCCAGAAACCAGAACUUGGCACACCCCAUCUCUCACUCCACUAGGGGGCACUAGUCGCAGGUAGGUAGGCGGACUCUGCUUUGCAGGAAGUGGCUUUCAUUGAUUUUUCACAGGUGGUUGGAGCCUAGAGCAAACCUCAACUGGCCAUGGACCUUCAAGCAGGUUGAUAGAAUGAAAACUCAAAGGGUUUGACUCAGAAGUGCCUGGGUUCAAAUCCUGACUUGACUGUUUUCCAUUAUCUUUAACCAGUUUGAGUUCAUUUCUUAGCAGAAAAACAGCUGCUAAUGUUUGCUGAGUGUUGAGAGGCUUCAUCAGAACAAGUCACAAGCAUAUAUCCAAUGUGGCGCAAAUGUUAAAAAUGUCAGUUUCCCAUAGGCGUUUGUAAAUGGCUCCUGUCCUCUGGAAAGGUUGCGUUGAAACUGACAAAUAAGAGCAUGAGCGAUGUUAAAAUGUUGUGGUUAGGAGUGUGAAUUCUGGAUUCAAAUCCUGGUGGGCAUAUUACUUAACCUCUGCCUGUCUCACUUUUCCUCAUCUGUAAAAUGGGAUAAUUCUAGUAACCAGUUCAUAAGGUUAUUGUGGGGACUCUAUGAUCACUUAGAACAUUGCCCUCUGUAAGCACUAUUUAUGAAUAUAGUAAUUAUCAUCAUUUGCGAGACCGAGUGGGCAUGCACACACUCACGCACAUGCACACAGGCAUGCGUGCGCACGCGCGCGCGCACACACACACACACACACACACACACACUCAUAUCCAGUGAAGCCUGUUUGAAAGAUUCAGGGAUGUUUUGUCCAUAGAAGAGGCCCCUCAGGGGGAGUGUGAAACCUGCCUUCCCUUUUAUUAAAGAGCUAUCAAGCACAACAAGGGUUUUGAUUCAUUGUGUUUAGCCCUCAGGGAUAAAUCGGCCUCAGUGGAUUAAAGCAGCAGGGGAUUUGUUUGGGCUCCAGUUUAAGAAGAAAUGGAAGCUGGCUGAAUCGCUCAGAGAUGAAACAGGCUGCUCCUGGAGUGAGAGAGUUUCAGGUCACCAGAGGAUGCAGGCAGCACCUGGUCACACCUUUGGAAAAAGCGGUCCCUACAAGCAUCAACUGAGUGAUGGAAAUAGAAAACCUUCAUGAACCCUCCCAAGACAGAGGUUUAUGAUAAAAACAUGAUAAUUCGAGAAAUAAUGCUCCGUAAAAAUCAGAGCUGUUCAAGCUGGGGAGGCUGGCAAAAUACCUUUGAGUCCAUCAGAUUUGUUCCCUAUUUUCUGCUGGACCAGAACUUCCUUCUCUGUGUUUGCCAGUACCGCUCACCCCUUAGAGUCGGAGAGCUGGUGCGCAAGCUUGCUCAUCUCUCUGUCUGAGAUGAUCUUUCAAGAAAACAGCAAGAAAUGCUAUUCAUCUGAGAUGAGAACCUAGCCUUGGGUGCACUGUUCCAUUUUAAUUCAUGGCAAUCGCUCAUGUCCUGCUGGAAAUUAAUUAAGGCCUGUGUUCCACAGGAGCUGGUAUUUGCUUUGAAACCUAGACCCCACCAUCGAAACUCUGAAAUGACAAAAACAUGUCUCCAAUUUGGGGCUAGAAGAGGCACAAUUUCAAGAGCCCCCUGUCGUUCUCAGCUAUUCUAUUCUGAACAAUGUGCUAUAAAUGUCCUCAGCAACAAUGAGCGAGGUGGAUUUUAGCCACCUGGAAGUUCCUGCUGAUUUUGCCAAAAAAAAAAAAAAAAAAGUCUACCUAGGACUGGACAUAAAAAGCCAAUGUGAAGGAAAAAAAAUUAGAAUGUUCACUGUUCGGAGAUUUAAAAAUUACUCUCUCCACAUUGAGCUUCUAGUUCUUUUAUGAAAGAAGUAAUGUACCAUGCAUAAGAAGGAUAGUAAAAAGUUAAUGAUUUCUCACUCUUGACUUUCCCUUGUUUCUCCCCCCAACCCUUUUUAAAAUUUAUAUCCAUCUUUGUGGCAUUCCUCUAGCUUCCAUCUGCUCCGGAGGUUACUAAGCACAGCCCUCCUGGCAGCGUCAGAAAGGAACAGCUCCCCUUGCUGUAAAGGCAAACGGGCCCAAAUUACCAAACAACGGAGGAGAUAGAAUCAUGACCUUUCCUCUGCAAUCCCAGAUCUAUAUAAAAAGUAAUGUAACAAAGACAGAACAGGAAACCUUCUUUCAGCCCAGAUGCUCUUAUAUUUUCAGGAGCUGUUCUUGGGAGCUGACCUUCUAUUUCAAAGACACAAGUAAGAUGCUGAGAUGGGGUCAACCCUGCCUUGUCUAGGAAAGAACAUUCCUCACCUCUAUUUGUCUUCCUAGUAGAGGCCGCCAACUCCCUCCACGUACACCAAGUCUUGUGGUAUUUUCGCUACUUCCCAAUAUAAUAGCGCAACCAAUGUCACUUGUUGGAAUUCUAUUCGUCUAUUUACAUUUUUCAUCCUUUUAUCCCAAGGCUGUCUUCAAGCCUCCAUCCCAUUUUCCAGAUACUAUAUUAAUGACACAACAUGGUAUUUGAUAAAUGAAAUUGUUCUCUGGAAAAUUAAAAAGGACCCCAGGUUUUCCUUGAAAAAGAAGACAGAAAUAACUUGUUUCUGACACAGUUUGUACAUGAGUAAAGAAGAGUCUUUAAAAAAAAUAAAAUUAGGAGUUCCUGCUGUGGGACAGUGGGUUAAGAAUCUGACUGCAGCAGCUGGGGUGGCUGUGGAGGUGCAGGUUUGAUGCCCCAGCCCAGUGCAGUGGGUUAAAAGAUGUGCCAUUGUUACAGCUGAGGUGUAGGUUGCAGCUGCAGCUCGGAUUCCAUCCCUGACCUGGGGAACUUCCAUAUGCCGAAGGAAGACCAUAAAAAAUUUUAAAUUUUAAAAAAUAAAUUAAAUUUUAAAAAGUUCAAAAUGGAAGGAGGCAUUAGAGUAGGCAACUAGCAACUUCUCUCAGCAGUCGUGAUUAGAAUGUUCUUUAACCGAAGGAGGGAAAAAAGCUAGAAAGCUACAUCCUGAACAUUCAAGGAGAAGAUGUGAGGUGUUGCUAUUACACUUCUAAUUGAAAGCCAAAGUUUUAAAUAGAGAGAGCGCAACACUAACUCUUGAUGUUAGAUAAAGUAUAAUUAAAAGGCUAAUUUUGACCCAAUCAAGCCUGUUUAAAUUGGACUCAUAGCUAAUUUAAAUUGGCCACAUAUCUGGGCCUAUUAUCAAGUUGCCAGGGUCUUGAAUAACUGUCAUGACAUCUUCAGAUGCUAUCAUCAAAGAGAAGUAGUUUCCCCAAAUUAGAGACUCGGCAUGUGUUCCUCUAAGAGAAAUUAGUUUAGUUUAAGAAGCUACAUUAUUUUUCUUGGCAAGUUAACAAUUAUUCACACACCAGGUAAAAGGGUUCAGAGAACACAAAGAGAAGGAUUUAGUCCUGCUGUCAGUAUCAAUUGCAGCAAGAAAAAAGAAGAAAAAUCCACAAAUAAUGCAAAACACAUCUGAAAACAGUUAAGUGCUCAUAUGUACUGAGUUCUUAUCAGGUGCCAGGCACUCUUCAAAAUAUAUCAUGUUUACUGACACUUCAGAGCUCCCCAACAACUGCAGGAGGUAGUUUGCUGGUACUAACUCCAUUUUGUACAAGAGAGACUAGGGGCAAAAAGAAUUAAGUGAUCUGGUCAAGGUCACAGCCAGCAAACAGUGGAGCCAAGAUUUGAAUCCAGCCAGUCUGAUGCCAAAGCCUGAUUCCUGCUCGCCCAAAUCCACGUCCUGGAGAUGACAGAGACGCUGCUGAUGUUCUGGAGUCUUGCCAUGCAAUCUCAAAGCACAGCUUCAAUUGCAUCCUUAAAAUUAAUCCUUCAAAACAAAGUCACUGGGUCAAAGUACAUGCACAUUUUCAAUUCUCAUAGUACCGAGUGCCUAGAUGUGGUGCAGACUCUGGGCUGGCAGGAGAUGGGGGAGAAGGUGUUCCAGAUGGUGGAAACAGCAUGAGCACCAGAAUGAUGAGGCUUAUGAUCCAGCAACAGUGGGAACUUCAUUUGUUUAGCAUGUGGAGGAUGGGAAGAGAAGAACCAUGGCAGGUCUUGGUAGAGCAGUGGGUGGGGGCUCUUACCAGAAUUCUGGCUGACUUUUUUCUCUGAGGAUUAUGGAUUCCUCUUGAAUCCAUGCAAAUGUAUACUCCACUGUAUUAAUGAAGCUUGCAUUUGUUAUUCGCUUGGGGGUGGGGGGGAAGCUCAGCUCUUUGAAAGGGCCUGUUUUCUUUGAAAUGCAAGAGUUUUACAAACAAAAAGGUCGCCCUUUGAAAGGAAGAUGAUAACUGCCUCACUUGAGCAUCAGAUGCAUUGCCUGAGGAUACAUUCCUUGAAGGAGACUUGGAUCUCCAGGAUGCAAUAGGAUUUCUCCAGCUCCCUUGACUUGUUCCUGUGAUUCCAGGCAGGAAUCUAACAGGAAGAAAUAGGUAGGGAAGGUUCUUCUGAGGUCAAUGUUUAGUACCGACUCCUGCCUCUAUCUCUGAUCCAGGGAAAGAGGUAUAUCAUAGCCACAGCCAAAGCUCAGGAACUGGAGCCUCUCUCAAAAGGCCCAUGAUAUCAGGAGUUUCAUGGUGGAUGGGCUAAUUCAUUAACCUGAAGUCCUUAUCUCUACCUGCAGAUGUAGACAGCACCUUAGCCUGGGGCACCCUGAGUCCUUCACUCCUUAUUGUUUCCUGUCAUAUAUUCCACAUCUGUCAAGCACUGACAAUGAACUAGGCAUUCACUGUGCUAGGCUUUGAGAAUGGAUAAACAAAAGGGAGUUCCUUUCCCUCUGUUCUCAGGGGUAAUAGAUUUGAGUAGUAAUGGGUAUUAAAAAAUAACCACUUGCCAAACAUACGGCUAUGAGGUCAUUGAAAGCGUGCUGUGAGAGGAUAUAAAUGGGGAGGUAAGACUCUAAUUUGGUGGGAAGGGCAUCUCUGACUUAGUGUGGUAGAUUGAUUGCUUUAAUGGCCCCAAUUCAUCAUCCUCCCUCCAUCCAUCUACACCCCUCACCAUGGAAUUUGCAUAUUUUCA
rnacentral:lncRNA from 1 species